GAAAGGAAGGAGGAUAGUUAUCAAGUAAGGAUGCUGACCCACCUGCUACUUCUUUUGGGACCAGGUUCUGUGUUUGGAGCUCUCGUCUCUCAAAAUCCAAGCAGGGACAUCUGUCAACGUGGGAGCUCUGUGAUGAUCCAGUGUGAAGUAGACACUCAGAUGACCUACAUGUAUUGGUAUCAGCAGCUAUCAGGACAAAGUUUAGUACUGAUUGCAACUGCCAAUCAAGGUUCAGAGGCUACUUAUGAAAGUGGAUUUUCUAAGGACAAGUUUCCUAUCAGCCGCCCAACAUUAACAUUCUCAAGUAUGAAUGUGAUGUGCCUGGACUCAGAAAUCAGCAGCCUCUACUUCUGCAGUGCUGGAGACACAGUGCUGGACAUACAUCAAAGACUCUAUUUCGGCAGUGGAAGCAAACUCACCGUCUUAGAUGACCUGAGCCAGGUGAAACCACCCAAAGUGGCUUUGUUCGAACCCUCGGAAGCCGAGAUCACCCAGACCCAGAAGGCCACACUCGUGUGCCUGGCCACAGGCUUCUUUCCUGACCAUGUGGAGCUGAGCUGGUGGGUGAACGGCAAAGAGGUGCAGAGUGGGGUCAGCACGGACCCCCAGGCCUUCAAGGAGAACAACACCAGCUACUGUCUGAGCAGUCGUCUGAGGGUCUCUGCUGCCUUCUGGCAUGAUCCUCGUAACCACUUCCGCUGCCAAGUCCAGUUCUAUGGGCUCAGCACGGAGGACAAGUGGGACUUCGCAGAAAAAAAACCUGUCGACCAAAAUGUCAGUGCUGAGGCCUGGGGCAGAGCAGACUGUGGCCUCACAACAAGGUCGUAUCAGCAGGGGGUCCUGUCUGCCACCAUCCUGUAUGAGAUCCUGCUUGGGAAAGCUGCACUAUAUGCUGCCUUGGUCAGUGCCCUGGUGCUGAUGGCCAUGGUCAAGAAGAAACAUUCCUGAAGCCAGC